UCCGUGCCAGCAGCCGCGGUAAUACGGAGGGUGCAAGCGUUAAUCGGAAUUACUGGGCGUAAAGCGCACGCAGGCGGUCUGUCAAGUCGGAUGUGAAAUCCCCGGGCUCAACCUGGGAACUGCAUUCGAAACUGGCAGGCUUGAGUCUUGUAGAGGGGGGUAGAAUUCCAGGUGUAGCGGUGAAAUGCGUAGAGAUCUGGAGGAAUACCGGUGGCGAAGGCGGCCCCCUGGACAAAGACUGACGCUCAGGUGCGAAAGCGUGGGGAGCAAACAGGAUU
rnacentral:rRNA from 1 species